GGAGUAGCUGCCGGGGCUUACAUUCUUACCUUAUUUGCUAUGAAGUAUAGACAACGUGUACUUGGUUUGAUACUUGUUUCACCUCUAUGCAAAGAACCAUCUUGGACUGAGUGGUUGUGCAACAAGGUCAUGUCAAAUUUACUCUAUUUUUGUGGCAUGUGCGGGGUGGCAAAGGAAAUGUUGCUGAAGCGGUACUAUAGCAAGGUAUACUUUGUGCAUCCAAAUUCC